rnacentral:rRNA from 1 species
UACAGAGGGUGCGAGCGUUAAUCGGAUUUACUGGGCGUAAAGGGCGCGUAGGUGGCAAAGCAAGUAAGAUGUGAAAUCCCUGGGCUUAACCUAGGAAGUGCAUCUUAAACUGCUUAGCUAGAGUAUGGUAGAGGGUAGUGGAAUUUCCGGUGUAGCGGUGAAAUGCGUAGAGAUCGGAAGGAACGCCAGUGGUGAAGACGACUACCUGGACCAAUACUGACACUGAGGCGCGAGAGCGUGGGGAGCGAACAGG